CACAAGGGAUAUUAAAAAGGGUCCAAGGACACCUUCAACCUACCGUGCUCCCACUGUGGAAACCCGAAGAAACAGGAAAGCCCCCGCUGGCACGAGUUUUCUGAGAUAUCACAGCGCCCCGGCGCGAAGAAAAUUACAACCCAUAACAAUGGAUCUCUUGGCUCUGGCAUCGAUGAAGAACGCAGCGAAAUGCGAUAAUUAAUAUGAAUUGCAGAAUUCAGUGAAUCAUCGAGUUUUUGAACGCACAUUGCGCCCUCUGGUAAUCCGGAGGGCAUGUCCGACCGAGCGUCACUGUACGCCGCUCGGGCCCCCUCUCGGGGGGGCUCGGUGUUGGGGAUCGCGGGGUUCCAGGACCCCGCGGCCCUUAAAAUCAAUGGCGAGCCCGCCGUGGCACGAAGAACCCCCCAGCGGAGUAGAACACUUUACUUGCUCGGGGGCGCCGCAGGACUCAGCCUAGCCAGGGGUUGGAGGGGUGUCCCCCCGCCCUCUCCCCCCGAACCCACCUAGAACCCGGUUGGCCUCGGGUCGGACAAGAUUACCCGCUGAACUUAAGCAUAUCAAUAAGCGGAGGAAAAGAAACCAACAGGGAUUGCCUCAGUAACGGCGAGUGAAGCGGCAACAGCCCAGAUUUGAAAUCUGGCCCCCACUGGGGGCCCGAGUUGUAAUCUGCAGAUGGGUCUUUUGGUGAAGCGGCCGUCCAAGUUCCCUGGAAUGGGACGCCUCAGAGGGUGAGAGCCCCGUACAGGCGGUCGCGGAGCCUCUGUAAAGUCCAUUCGACGAGUCGAGUAGUUUGGAAAUGCUGCUCUAAUCGCGGGGUAAACCUCCCGUAAGGCUAAAUACCGGCCAGAGACCGAUAGCGCACAAGUAGCGUGAGCGAAAGAUGAAAAGGGCCUUGAACAAGGGCGUUAAAAAGUAUGUGAAAUUGUUAUGGGGGAAGCGCUCGAUGCCAGACUCGGGGGCGGUUGGUUACCCGGCGGUCCUCGCCGGCGCACUCUUCCGCUCCCGGGCCAGCAUCGGUUCGGCGCGGGGCUCACUGCCCCGGGGAACGUGGCUCCCUCGGGAGUGUUAUAGCCCCGGCGGAUACGCCCCGUGCCGGACCGAGGACGGCGCCUUCCGGCGUGGAUGCUGGCGUAAUGGCCCUACGACCGUUUAAUACAAAAAACAACACACACAACUCCCCAAACCAAGAU
rnacentral:rRNA from 1 species